rnacentral:rRNA from 1 species
GACAGAGGGGGCAAGCGUUGCUCGGAAUCACUGGGCGUAAAGGGUGCGUAGGCGGCGCGGUAAGUCGGGUGUGAAAUCUCGGAGCUUAACUCCGAAACUGCAUUCGAUACUGCCGUGCUUGAGGACUGGAGAGGAGACUGGAAUUUACGGUGUAGCGGUGAAAUGCGUAGAUAUCGUAAGGAAGACCAGUGGCGAAGGCGGGUCUCUGGACAGUUCCUGACGCUGAGGCACGAAGGCCAGGGGAGCAAACGGG